UAUAGUUUACUGAAAACAUCAAGUUGCAAACUUGAAGACCGGAUGUAUAUAUAUAUAUAUAU
rnacentral:tRNA from 1 species